rnacentral:rRNA from 1 species
CGGAGGGUGCAAGCGUUAUCCGGAUUUACUGGGUUUAAAGGGUGUGUAGGCGGACUAUUAAGUCAGCGGUGAAAUCUCCGGGCUCAACCCGGAAACUGCCAUUGAUACUAUUAGUCUUGAAUAUUGUUGAGGUGGGCGGAACGGGUCAUGUAGCGGUGAAAUGCAUAGAUAUGACCCGGAACACCGAUUGCGAAGGCAGCCCACUAAGCAAUUAUUGACGCUGAGGCACGAAAGCGUGGGGAUCAAACAGGAUUAGAUACCCUGGUAGUCCACGCCCUAAACGAUGAUUACUCGACGUUGGCGAUACACUGAUCAGCGUCCAAGCGAAAGCAUUAAGUAAUCCACCUGGGAAGUACGUUCGCAAGAAUG